GGUAUUACCGCGGCUGCUGGCAUGGAGUUAGCCGGAUCUUCUUCUGUAGGUAACGUCAUUUCGCCAAAGUAGUAACUUGGUUAAUUCCUCCCUAUUGAAAGUGCUUUACAACCGUAAGGCGUUCUUCACACACGCGGCAUGGCUGCAUCAGGCUUGCGCCCAUUGUGCAAUAUUCCCAACUGCUGCCUCCCGUAGGAGUAUGGACCGUGUCUCAGUUCCAGUGUGGCUGAUCUUCCUCUCAGAACAGCUAUGGAUCGUCGCCUUGGUAGGCCUUUACCCUACCAACUAGCUAAUCCAACGCAGGCUCCUCCAAUAGUGAGAGGUCUCCGAAGAGUUCCCCCCCUUUCCCCCUUAGGGCGUAUGCGGUAUUAAUCCGAGUUUCCUCGGGCUAUCCCCCGCUACUGGGUAGAUUCCUACGCGUUACUCACCCGUCCGCCGCUCGACGCCUGGGAGCAAGCUCCCAUCGUUUCCGCUCGACUUGCAUGUUUAAGGCCUGCCGCCAACGUUCAAUCUGAGCCAGGAUCAAACUCU
rnacentral:rRNA from 1 species